rnacentral:rRNA from 1 species
UACGUAGGCAGCAAGCGUUGUUCGGAGUUACUGGGCGUAAAGGGUGUGUAGGCGGUUCUUUAAGUUUGGUGUGAAAUCUCCCGGCUCAACUGGGAGGGUGCGCCGAAUACUGAGGGACUAGAGUACGGGAGAGGAAAGUGGAAUUCCUGGUGUAGCGGUGAAAUGCGUAGAUAUCAAGAGGAACACCUGAGGCGAAGGCGGGUUGCUAGGCUGACACUGACGCUGAGGCGCGAAAGCUAGGGUAGCAAACGGG